rnacentral:rRNA from 1 species
GGGCCCGCACAAGCGGUGGAGCAUGUGGUUUAAUUCGAUGAUACGCGAGGAACCUUACCAGGGCUUAAAUGUAGUCUGACGUACUUGGAAACAGGUAUUUCUUCGGACAGAUUACAAGGUGCUGCAUGGUUGUCGUCAGCUCGUGCCGUGAGGUGUCAGGUUAAGUCCUAUAACGAGCGCAACCCCUGUGGUUAGUUGCCAGCGAGUCAAGUCGGGAACUCUAGCCAGACUGCCGGUGCAAACCGUGAGGAAGGUGGGGAUGACGUCAAAUCAUCACGGCCCCUUACGUCCUGGGCCACACACGUGCUACAAUGGUAGGGACAGAGAGCAGCCACUUUGCGAGAAGGAGC